AUUGAACGCUGGCGGCAUGCCUUACACAUGCAAGUCGAACGGUAACAGGUCUUCGGAUGCUGACGAGUGGCGAACGGGUGAGUAAUACAUCGGAACGUGCCUAGUAGUGGGGGAUAACUACUCGAAAGAGUGGCUAAUACCGCAUGAGAUCUACGGAUGAAAGCAGGGGAUCGCAAGACCUUGUGCUACUAGAGCGGCCGAUGGCAGAUUAGGUAGUUGGUGGGAUAAAAGCUUACCAAGCCGACGAUCUGUAGCUGGUCUGAGAGGACAAUCAGCCACAAUGGGACUGAGAAACGGCCCAGACUCCUACGGGAGGCAGCAGUGGGGAAUUUUGGACAAUGUGCGCAAUCCUGAUCCAGCAAUGCCGCGUGCAGGAUGAAGGCCUUCGGGUUGUAAACUGCUUUUGUACGGAACGAAAAGCCCCGGGUUAAUACCCUGGGGUCAUGACGGUACCGUAAGAAUAAGCACCGGCUAACUACGUGCCAGCCGCCGCCGUAA
rnacentral:rRNA from 1 species